GGACCACUAGGUCGGUCGUGCUUCGGUACGUACUGCCAUUAUUGGUUUCUCCCUUCUGAAGAACCUUGAUGUCAUUAAUUUGGUGUUUUGGGGAAUCGGGACUGUUACUUUGGAAAAAUUAGAGUGUUUAAAGCAGGCUCGCGCUUGAAUACAUUAGCAUGGAAUAAUGAAAUAGGACGUUUGAUUCUAUUUUGUUGGUUUCUAGGAUCGACGUAAUGAUUAAUAGGGAUAGUUGGG
rnacentral:rRNA from 2 species